AGUGAACGCUGGCGGCGUGCUUAACACAUGCAAGUCGAACGAGAACGGAUUAUAGCUUGCUAUAAUUGUCAGCUAAGUGGCGCACGGGUGAGUAAUGUAUAGAUAACCUGCCCUUAAGAAAGGAAUAACAGUUGGAAACGACUGCUAAUGCCCUAUAUGCCUUUAAUACAUAAGUAUGCAAGGGAAACGCUUUAGUGCUUAAGGAUGGGUCUGUAUGGUAUCAGCUUGUUGGUGAGGUAAUGGCUCACCAAGGCUAUGACGCCUAACUGGUUUGAGAGGAUGAUCAGUCACACUGGAACUGAGACACGGUCCAGACUCCUACGGGAGGCAGCAGUGGGGAAUAUUGCACAAUGGACGAAAGUCUGAUGCAGCAACGCCGCGUGGAGGAUGACACAUUUCGGUGCGUAAACUCCUUUUAUAUAGGAAGAUAAUGACGGUACUAUAUGAAUAAGCACCGGCUAACUCCGUGCCAGCAGCCGCGGUAAUACGGAGGGUGCAAGCGUUACUCGGAAUCACUGGGCGUAAAGAGCGUGUAGGCGGGUAUAUAAGUCAGAAGUGAAAUCCAAUAGCUCAACUAUUGAACUGCUUUUGAAACUGUAUACCUAGAAUGUGGGAGAGGUAGAUGGAAUUUCUGGUGUAGGGGUAAA
rnacentral:rRNA from 1 species